AUUUUUGAGCUUGAAGGAUUCAUUUGUCCACAAACGCUUGCCAAAUCUGGAGAUAUGUAAAACAGAAGCUCUUCUACUCCACAUAGCACAUUCAGGAUAUCGACAACAUAUUGCGGAGUUGUAGCCUCAGUGGGUCUAAUCUCGGGUUCCCAAUAUACCCAAAGAAUCAUUUACGAUAAUGGCCAAAAUUCUUUGAGCAAGCUGUGGAGGCAUAAUGGACCUAGACCAGAGUCGUUGACAAUAAAAUUGUCACAAAAAUACAUCCACAUGGGCACAACAGGACUUCCUCGUUCACCUUUUUUUACCGUAAUACAUAAUAAAGAUUAUGACCCGUAAAUGAUUAUAAACUAAUGAUCACCUUCAUAAUACGGUCGAUGGCUCGAGAAACACUGAGAU